GUCCUGCCGCCUCCUACUGUGGAGGCUACAGGGGAGCAGGCACUGCCAUACACUGCUGGUGGGAAUGCAAAUCGGUACAGCCCUUCUGGAAGGACAUCGGACAUCAAUGAAAAAUCAGUGCCUGGCCAGGGUGCCCGGCAUCUGUGAGGUCUCGAGCACACUACCAGCUGACAGAGUUCAGUCUCAACCCGAGUUUCUGCCACAGUCCCCUCUGUGUGACAGCACAGCCCUGCAGAGCCGGGAUUUCAGCAGUUACUAUGGAAAACAGCAAAUUCCAGGUAAAAAUCAGGGGACAGAAACGGGGAGGGAGGGGAGUGUUCCAUCUGAUUCCACGUCUGGAAGACAUGCGGAGCCCAAAACCUGCAUGCCCGUCAUCAGUGAGUCAUCAUGCUUACUGAAGCAUGAAAUCAAAAUAGUUUUCUUCUAAUUUGUGUGUAUUCGUUUUCCAAACAUCCACUAAAUCUUUAGGACAUAAAUACUUAUAAAGUUGUUCAAACAUACGUAAUUUUCCCUGUGGCUCCAGUGGCUAGGAAAAAAGAGAGCUAAGUACUUUUAAUAAGUGAAAGUGUUAGGAAUUUCCUUUGGCCUAGGAACACUUUGAAAAAGUUACCAAGACAUUAAACCACAAAGUUUGGGAAUCUCUAGCCUAUAAUAACCCUCAAAGAGUGAUUUCAAUCCUAGUGGUGAGAGGAACCAGCUGGGAUGCCGUGAACACGUCUGGGGCGGAGCCGGGGCUGCCAGGGCUAAGGGCUGGGCCCCCCAGGCCCCAGGUGCUGACCUGAGGGAACUUCUCAUUCAGUCACAGACAUCAGGGUCUGACUCAGUAUCUCAGGGUCAGCAAAGGUCCAUCUCCCUCUCUCUAGGGCACCAGUGCCAUCUCCCAUGGCAUCCUCCGUACCUGAGGCCAGGGGUGGCUCCUGGAGGACAGGGCAGAGCCCCUGUGCAGGGCCCCAGCCACACCCACCUGUGGAAGACGGCGGAGCAGUCGGUGCACACGGACGUGUGGCUGUCGAACGGGAACAGCACGUCGCCCUCUCUGCAGAGCUCACACACAAAGCCCUUGGCCUGGCACCGCUGGGGGAACAGUGUGGUGUUGGGGCACGGGAACAUCAGUGCCAGCUCCUCUGAGCACUCCAGGCCAGGGACACAGCAGGCUGGGUGGUGUCUCCUGCAAACCCCCCUCAGGGCUGGGGCUGGGGGAACAUAGCCCUCAGGCAGAGGCCCACCUCGCAGUCCAGCUUGAUGUGCUUGGCGAAGAGUGUGUGGAUCUCGGUGAGCGAGCAGCCCAGGCGGCCAGCAUGCACAUCCAGGAGGUCCUGGACAGAGUACAUCUCGUCGUUCUCCACAAAAUGCUGCCGAUCCUGGAGCUGCCAAGUCCCAGCAGCUGUGACCCCCUGCACCGGGGAAGGCCCUGCCCACUGCCCACACGUGGUCGCACCAGUGAUCAGGGCCUGGUGCUCACCGAGAAACGAGCUGAAGAAGGAUCUAGGCCCCAGGAGUAUAAACCAGGAGCCCCAGGAAGCCAACAAGGGAAGAUGGAGCAGAGCCACACUUCCUGACCUGUGUAGACUCCGCCCUCCACUCCCGAUGCAGCACCUCCAGGCACAGUGCAGUGCCCCACCCAUGUAGACCCCACCCUCCACUCCCGAUGCAGCACCUCCAGGCAUACUGUACUCCCUGACCCAUGUAGCCCCCCUGCCCUCCACUCCCGAUGCAGCACCUCCAGGCAUACUGUACUCCCCCACCUGUGUAGCACCCCCCGGCCACCCUCCACUCCCGAUGCAGCCCUCCAGGCACACUGCGCCCCCUCAUUCCCCACCCUUCCUGCUCUGCCUUGUCCACAGGGCUCACCACCCCAACAUAUAACUUAUUUUUCCUGUGUUCCCUACUUGAAAGGCACUCUAAAGGCAAGGACUCCUGUCUAUUUUGUUCACUGUUCCCAGAAUCUAGACCAGCUGUAUCUGCUGAAGAAAUGAUCAGAUGCACCUUGAAAACUGUGCUUUGUGGUGAACCUGCCUGAGGAGGGUGGGGCUCCACCCCCAUGGAGAUUCACAUGAAGGCUGCGGGGCUUCCCAGACUGAACGCCUUGGAGAAGCCCUCUGUGGGUAGAAUACAUGUUUGCUUUGCUCCCUGGGACAGUGCUUAGGAGACCCUCUGCUAAAGCUACGACAUGCACAAGCUGGAAAAGCCCUGAGCCAGAGCUGCCUUGCCGCCCGGCAGUGCUUCCCCUCCGGGCCAGUCCCGCCGUCAGUCUGACCUGCAGCAGCAGACGAGCCUCCAUGGCCUCCCUGCAGGUGAGGAAGUACGGCUUCAUGAGCAAGAUGUCCUGGCGCAGCUUCUGCAGACAAGGCGGGGUGGGCGGCUUCCUCAGCCAGGACGCAGGGCUGGCCCGGCACGGGCCUCACGGGGAGCCCUGCUCACAGGCAGCUGCCCCAUGCCGGAGGCUAUGCAGGGUCGGAGGGUCGGCUCCCGAGGAGGGGCCCAGAGCUGAGGGCUAUAGCGAAACACAAGCCCAAACCACAGCUCCCGGGCCGGGCAGGACCGUGAGGCUCUUACCCUUCCCUCCCCCUCACCCGGCCCCUCAGGCACACAACUGUCCAGGAGCCGGCAGCCUCAGGAAGCCAAACUUCCAGAGAAAUCCCAGUUCCCGCCCCAGCCCUGGUCUUGGCAACUCAAUCUGCUGCCACGGUCUCCUCCCUGGUAAAACGGGAACCAAUGCCUUUCACCACCUCACAGGAGACUCGGUCACGUCCUGCCUGCUGGGACCGCAGCUCCCGUCUGCCCUUGGCUCCCGCCCUAACUCCUCCCUCACCGCUAGCUAAGAGAGGGGCCAGCAGCCUCACACAGCCACAGAGCCCUGGAAAGUGGCUGCUGAGCAGUGAGAUGGCCUUAAGCAGAGAAUACACACUGGCGACAAAGACACGGCGCAAAAAAGAAAAAGAACAUAAAAUAUCUCAAAACGUACACUGAGUUCACGUUGAAAUAAUAUUCUGGAUAUAUUGGGCUAAAUAAAAUACAUUUUUAAAAUUAA